rnacentral:misc_RNA from 1 species
UUAUUUUUGUUGUCAUAUAUUUUUUUUUUACAAGUACAUAAUUUCAAUAAAAUUGCAUUAAAAUUGAAUCUUGAAUUCGUUCGAUAACAAACAACAAAUCUAUGUCAUAGUAACCUACAAUUUGUUUCAGAGAUGGCACAAAAUGGGAAAAAGAAAAAGAAAAUAUAUGACAACAAAAAUAAUAUGUGGUGGUAUGCAAUAUUUCAAAAACAAAAAAGAAAAAGAUAGAAUCACUUCCUGUUAUUUGCCUGCCUGUCUAGUCUACUUACUGAUUCCCCAAGGCAAAUCCACUAUCUAACUUCAGCUCUGGCAUGUCAUCAGAGAAAAUUUCUCCCUUAGGUUUGUUGAAAACACUCGUCCUUGCCUGUAUCUGCUAGCAACAUUUUCCAAGUUCCCUUAUUUCACUUCCUAUAUCUCUUUGUACAUACCACAGAAAACCUCUAUGCAUAUUCUCAUUUUAGUCUUCAUUUGUCAGGCAGAAGAAUGAGGGAUCUGAAGAAGAAUUAGUGAGACACAAUAUAAUGAUAGAGAAAUAGCAGCCCCCGCAACAAAAUUAUAAAAAA